GGAGAGGUGAGAGACGGGGAGAGGAGAGAGACGGAGAGGAGAGAGACGGAGGAGAGGAGAGAGACGGAGGAGAGGUGAGAGACAGGGAGAGGAGAGAGACGGAGAGGAGAGAGACGGAGGAGAGGAGAGAGACGGAGGAGAGGUGAGAGACGGGGGAGAGGUGAGAGAGGGGGGAGAGGAGAGAGACGGAGGAGAGGAGAGAGACGGAGGAGAGGAGAGAGACGGAGGAGAGGAGAGAGACGGAGGAGAGGAGAGAGACGGAGGAGAGUAGAGAGACGGAGGAGAGUAGAGAGAAGGAGGAGAGGAGAGAGAAGGAGGAGAGGAGAGGUGAGAGACGGGGGAGAGGAGAGAGACGGAGGAGAGGAGAGAGACGGAGGAGAGGAGAGAGACGGAGGAGAGGAGAGAGACGGAGGAGAGGAGAGAGAAGGAGGAGAGGAGAGAGAAGGAGGAG
ensembl:lncRNA